AAUUCUCAACCCUUAUCAACUUUGUGCUGAUAAUGGGCUUGGAUAUGGGGGCUUUUUUGCUGGCUUCUUCACAGAUGGUCAGCUCCCCUGAAAUGCAUUAGCCGGUGCCCCGCGUGGACUGUCUAUUGGUGUGAUAAUUAUCUACGCUGUGGACAUCUACAAUCAUAUGGGUUUGCGCUGCUUCUAACUGUCUGUUCAUUCAGACAAUAUAUGACCAU
rnacentral:misc_RNA from 1 species